rnacentral:rRNA from 1 species
GACGAACGCUGGCGGCGUGCCUAACACAUGCAAGUCGAACGGGGUAGUUCCUUCGGGGACUACUUAGUGGCGAACGGGUGAGUAACGCGUGAGGAACCUGCCUUUCAGUGGGGGACAACAGUUGGAAACGACUGCUAAUACCGCAUAUUAUGUACGGAUCGCAUGGUCUGUACAUCAAAGACUUAUUGCUGAAAGGUGGGCUCGCGUCUGAUUAGCCAGUUGGGGGGGUAACGGCACACCAAGGCGACGAUAAGUAGCCGGUCUGAGAGGAUAAACGGCCACAUUGGGACUGAGAUACGGCCCAGACUCCUACGGGAGUCAGCAGUGGGGAAUAUUGGGCAAUGGGGGAAACCCUGACCCAGCAACGCCGCGUGAAGGAAGAAGGCCUUCGGGUUGUAAACUUCUUUUACCAGGGACGAAGAACGUGACGGUACCUGGAGAAAAAGCAACGGCUAACUACGUGCCAGCCGCCGCGGUAAGAC